AGAAAAAAGACAAGUACAACAAUGAGGACCCUAGUCCCAUUGAGUUUUUCAAAGAGACCAAUACCAAUAGAAAGACGGGAUGCAUGAGCGCCGCUGCCCUUGAAGCUUAUACUGACAUGGAAAAGAGAAGGAGUGAAGCACAACAAGAAGAUGAGCACAUGGUGUCUGGUACACAUAUUGUGGCUGAAGUUCUAAAGGAGCACAACUCCUCAAGCACCUUCCUUUCAACCAUGGGGUACCAAUCAAGAUCUGAGACGUUUAGGACAUCAUAUUCUGAAGAACGGAUUCGAGAGUUAGAAGAAAAGGUUGAACAACAUAAGAGAGAAGCAAUAGAGGCAAAUGCAAUGUACCAACAACAUUUAACCGAGAGAGGUCAAAUUCAAGAGGCUGCACUAGAAGAGAUGCAAAGGAAACAACAAGAAGAAUUAGCGGCAAUGAAGAAGAGCCAACAAGAAAAGAAUAAAACAUAUGAAAAAAAAGCAAGAAGAACAUGGCAGUCUUAUUAGCUUCCUCUUACAAAAACAUGCAACGCAGAAUUAGACACCAUACUUGAUGGUGCAUUGAUGCAUGGUGGUGCUAUUCUAGCAUGAACUUAGUUGCUCGUCCUUAGUUAUGACAAAUUUACAGUGCAACGUAAGAACUUAUUUAGUUAUGUAAAAUGGUAUUUGGAUAUGAGAUGAUAUUUGGUCGUGAGUUAGAUA